GAUGAAGAACGUAGCGAAAUGCGAUAAGUAAUGUGAAUUGCAGAAUUCAGUGAAUCAUCGAAUCUUUGAACGCACAUUGCGCCCGUCAGUAUUCUGGCGGGCAUGCCUGUUCGAGCGUCAUUACGCCCCUCAAGUCCCCUGUGGACUUGGUGUUGGGGAUCGGCGAGGCUGGUUUUCCAGCACAGCCGUCCCUUAAAUUAAUUGGCGGUCUCGCCGUGGCCCUCCUCUGCGCAGUAGUAAAACACUCGCAACAGGAGCCCGGCGCGGUCCACUGCCGUAAAACCCCCCAACUUUUUAUAGUUGACCUCGAAUCAGGUAGGACUACCCGCUGAACUUAAGCAUAUCAAUCAGCGGAGGA
rnacentral:misc_RNA from 1 species